rnacentral:tmRNA from 1 species
ACCCUUCUCAUUUCUGCGCGCGCGCUUAUAUAGGUCCUGCCGGGCUUGCCCGGAUAUGGCGAUAAAUCGUGUCGUGUAAUAGAUGCAGCGGACCCGGGGGCGGUACCCGGCGGCUCCACCAGAAGGCCCGGAUACGGGUUUCCUGACGGGGCCGAACUAGGAUCGACGUGUAUUCAAAGACGGCAGUUUGCCCGGCCUGAAUGAGCCGUUAAACCGUUCAAAACUACAAGUGCUAACGAUAACGAAGCACUCGCGAUUGCUGCGUAACUGAACUCCCUCACGGGAACUAGGUUACAAGGCUAAGCGCGGUUCGGUCCGCACCGGGCAACAGAAGCGGAAUCC